UCCUACUUUAAAGAAAAUCACCUUUGUUUUGUUGACAGGGAGAUGUUUCAGGAGACUACAGGACUCUUAUGCUUGCUUUGAUAUCUGGAUAAAUGGGGGACUACCAUGAAUGACUGCUCAAGUGGGUUACAAGUUGUGAAAGAAAUGACAUCCCAGCAACACAUGGAGCUCUGCACACCUAGACUGAAACAUGUACACUCUGAUGAUCAUGUUGUUCUUAUGUUUGACUUAGAUUUAGUGUUUUUAACUUUUGUUAUUUGUGUGUUGAAAACAACCAGCUUUUAGAUCUUCUUUUUAGGAGGUUUGUUUGAUAGCUCAUUCACGCUAACAACCAGAACUUGGCUCUUCUUUUAGGGAGGGAGGUUUGAUAUUUUGUCUAUCCUUGGUAGACAGGUAAAUAUUUACCUUUUUUUUUGUUUAAAAAUACAAAUUAUUCAAUUGACAUAUGCAAUGUAAGAAUAAACUAAUCAUCCACAACAGUCUAAAUAUUGCUUACAUGCCAUAAUCUAUUUUAAAAAAAUCAACAAAUGAUCUUAACAUUUUUUUUAAAUUUAAAUAAAGAAAAAUCCCUAACUUUGAUUUUUAAAUGCUGCAUCUUGUAAUUGACAGAUAUGUAACUUUGAGAGAAGAUGACAUUACUAUUUUAUGCUGUGUUUGUUUUGCUUUAUUCUACUUUUCCUUUUUCUUGAAGUCCUGCUUUCAAUAAAUGUCUUAUUUCAACUGAAAUGUAUGCCAUACAAUAUUGUUUGUUUUAUAAUCUGUAGCAUGUAUCAUACAGAAACAUUUUCAACAAGGUAUUUUUAAAAAAUUAUUUUAUUGAAGUUCUACAUUUAUAACCUGUAUAUUGCCGUAUAUACUCUUGUUAGUGUGUGUGUUAUAUGUAUAUUCAUAUUGUUUGUUGUUUUAUUGAUUUGUCAACCUUGGCUCAGCCUAAAUGCCAAAUUGAUUCUAACUACAAAUAAUAUUUAUUUAUGCAUUUUACUAAAUACUUCUUAAAAUUUAUAUUUCUAAUGCCUGUAGAUCACAAGAAGCUUAUUAUAUACCAGCAAACAAAUUAUGUUGUGUAUGAAAUGUCAUCAAGUUCAACAUUCACUAUAAAUUACUAAGAUCUGAUUUUGUUCUACACUUAACUUUGCAGGUGUUUGAGCUGUAAAAGUUGUUGACAAAUUUUGUUUCGUUAUUAGAAAACUUUUUUUUCGUUUUGAAAGCUGCUUUGUUGUUUGUUUGAUAUUCUGUUGUUUUUACUGUAUUCAAUAUACUAUUGCACUUUUUAAUAACCAAAUUUGAUUAUCUUUAUGAGAAAAUAAAAUUAGCCAUUAUAACUUAGACUAGUUAUGUUAAAACCUUGUUUCAUCAUUAUAAAUCUUUUGAUGCAUAUUAUCAUACUUAUUAUUGUAUUGGAAACCAUUAGUAUCUGCUCUAGAUUGAUAAUAAUAAUUCAAAAAUAUUGACUAUGUUAUCAGACUGAAUAGAAAAAUAAAUGUUUUUCUUUUAUUCUACUAUCAGUUUGUUUGAAAUGACUGUCAGAGUUGAUCAUUUCUUCCUAUGUGUAGAUCUUCUUUUUCUAUGCUGUGGUGUAUGGAGAUUCUUCAAAUCUUUAAAGAUUUGAUCUUACUAGUUGUUAUUAUUUUUUUGCCAAGUGUCAUUUCUUCUGGUUCUGGUAAUUUUUUCAUUCAAAUUGUAAAUGUCUUUCUUUUUCGUAGUAAUUGUAAAGUAGCAAUGGUCAAUGAUUUUCAGAACAUUUUUUUUAACAUCAAAGCGAGUCAACUUUUUUUUGUUGCUUUUCAUGCAAAUGUUUAGUGUCUCAGUUCUAUACUUCAUAUAGCAAAGAUGUCUACAUUAUAUCUUCAGUCUGUUUCAUUGGAAUAUUCAUAUUCUGAUAUUGUUAAGAUUUGGUUUCCAAUAAUGACUUCAGCAUACAAUAUAUAACAUUGCUUGAGUAGAUGUAAAGAUUAAUGUAACUAUAUUUAUAUACUUUAUGUUUCUUGAAUACAAUAUGAUUUUGAAUGUAAUUGCUCAUUUAUUUGGUUUCAUUUACAUAUCAUUAUUUAUAUCAUUAUUUAGCCGUAAGUUCAAGUCCUUUAGGUUUUGUCAUCACAUUGAACCUACUCCUCAUGGACUUUUGUUGUUUAAAUAGGCCAGCCUAAGAGAAUGGUUGUGUUCAACUAAAGCUCUUCAGAAUUUAGUUUUCACAGUUGUUGUUUUCAUUGCAAGAUUUCACUUAACAAAUUGCCAGUGGUAACCUUAGGCCAUUUCAUUUUUAUUUUUUUGGAAACAUCUAAAUGUCCAACCAAAUUUAUAGCAAGCCCUCCCAAGUUCUUUACAUUUUUUUUUAUCAUUUUAUUUUUUUUUAGUUGUGUUGCUAAUAUUGCUAGAAAACAGUAAUCAUGGGUCUUCAUUUGUAUUAUUUCUUUUGUCAUUUUUUUUUCUAUAUUUGUUCACUAAUAAAAAUAUAAUAAAAAAAACAUUUGUAUAAAA
rnacentral:sRNA from 1 species